rnacentral:rRNA from 1 species
UAAUACAGAGGGUGCAAGCGUUAAUCGGAAUGACUGGGCGUAAAGGGCGCGUAGGUGGCAGCUUAAGUUAGAUGUGAAAUCCCCGGGCUUAACCUGGGAACUGCAUUUAAUACUGGGCAGCUAGAGUAUGGGAGAGGGCAGUGGAAUUUCCGGUGUAGCGGUGAAAUGCGUAGAUAUCGGAAGGAACACCAGUGGCGAAGGCGACUGCCUGGCCUAAUACUGACACUGAGGCGCGAAAGCGUGGGGAGCAAACAGG